UCUGAGAGUACUGAGAAGCCUCAAGGCACCAGAUCUUAUCAGAUCUUGGAAGCUAAGUAGGGUCAGCUAUGAUUAGUACUUGGAUGGGCAACAGCCAAUGAAUACCAGGUGCUAUAGAG
rnacentral:rRNA from 11 species